rnacentral:ncRNA from 2 species
ACUCACUCAACCUGGGUGUGAUGUG